UGGGGUGUAGCUCAACCGGAAGAGCAGCGGUCUCCAAAACCGCAGGCUGCAGGUUCGAACCCUGCCACCUCUG
rnacentral:tRNA from 1 species